ACUGCAGCAACGCAGAGCAGCAGGGAUGGAGGGCCGGGGAGGAUGCAAAGGAGGACCUUCCCCCUAGGCAGGAACAAGGAGGUCCAUAUUCCUGGAGUAGGUGCACAGCAGGAGAAACACACAACCAGUGCCAUGGGACAGGAGCACCCCGCAGGAGUGGGGCACAGCAUGGGAGGUGCACGUCCUCCAUCCCACCCCAUGCACAGCCAUCGAGCAACCGCUGCAAAUCGGAUGAGGCUCAACCCCAGAGGCCCUCCAUUGAUUUCCGUUGCCUAACGACGGGAAAGCUUUAUAAUCCUAUUAACUAAACACCCUUUCAAGCAGCAGUGGCAGAAGCACCAAGGGGACUUGUGUAAGCAGGAGGAGCCACCCAGUGCAGAACACAGCUCCGUGAAUGCUGGGGGGUCCCCCAAAUGUGAGGCUGUGACACCUGCAGGUGCAGUGCUGGGUCUGACCCACAAACCAAGCAGGUGUUUGGCACAGGGGCUGGGAGCUCUUGCAUAGGACAGCAGUGCCCGGGCACACAAAUUUGCAAGAGCUGGCCCCAGAAUAUCAACAUAUCACUGCAUUUUAGUCUGUUCUUAAUUACCAACACUCCAGUGUUUGCACUUGGAGAAGUUCUCCAGCAAAAGACAGACCACAGUUGAAAUAUUUCACAGAAAAAGGUGAAUUUUGUUGCUCCAGUUGCUGUGCACAAGUGCUUGCCCAUCACCAUGGAAAUGCUGAAGAGAGCUCACGGCCUGCUGAGGCUUUCAUCCUCCUCCAAGCAAAACCAGGGCCUUGGGCAGUCACCAGCCUAUGGCACUCAGAGGAGAAGCAAUGGGUUCGUGCUCCCCGUGGGUGGGUCAUGGGAGGAUCCCAUCACCCAGAACCACAGAAUGGCUUAGAUUGGAAGGGACCUUAAAGACCAUCCAGUUCCAACCCAGAUCUGAUGUCCAGGGCCCCAUCCAUAGCCUUGAGAAUCUCCAGGGAUGGGGCAUCCACAGCUCUGGGCAGCUUGUUCUCUCUUCCUUCUGCCUUUCUUCUCCAGACAGGGAAGUGUGGAGCUGGGAUGCCCCAGCAUCCCCAAGCUCUGGCAUGUAUGCAAAGCCCCUUUGAUUUUCUCCUGAUCCCAUGCAGAAUCAGUUCAGACCCAGUGGGCUUCUCCUGCCUUCCUUGAUCUGCAGCAGGUGAGCAACCCACUGGGACAGCCUCCCUCAUCCCUUCCUCCUCCCAUCUGCCAAAGCUCUCUGCACACAGAGCAGCAGAGCACAGUGAGAUCUCCCUGCUGGAUGACCUCCUGGCCUCCAGGGAGUGGGAACUCUGUCCUGUGAGCCCGUGAUCCCCCGACACGCAUCUGCUGAACUGCCUUUGACGUCAGCUCAUGUCUACAAACAUUGGUUUUGACCCACAGCCAAGAGCUGAAGCGCAGGGAAAUAAAAAUAAUGGUGAAGAAAGCAAAUAUCCGGCAUCCCGCAGAGAGCCCCAGGAGAGCAGCAUGGGGAGGGCAGGCAUACCCGGGGUGAGAUGGGAGUAAAAAGGGUCAGGACAUCAUGGAACAUGAAGUGCAAAUCCCUAAGGAACGUGGAAGGGUGCAGCCUCACUGCCGGUUGGACUCAGGCAGUCAGGAGCACAGCGUGGCUCUGAUGCUGUUUCCCACAAGAGCCUCACAACCCCCAUCCAUCUGCUGACCCUUCCAGCGCCGACAAAGGAAGAACCCAAUAACUCACAGGGAAAACAACAGUGCCAUCUGCUGCACAGCUCCGCUCGGCCCUGCACAGCCCGGCCUGCACAAGUGUGUGCGUGGGCUCACCCAGCUCACAGCAGUCACAACUACAGGUGAACGCAUCCCUAACCGGCACCAAGUGACGCACGAAGGCAGCAGCAACCAUCACCGGACAGGGGAGGCAUCCCUGCAGCCACCCCCAUGGCCACUCAUUGCUGCCUGCCUGGGGACAGCUCUGGUUUGUAUGGAAGAGUAACAGACCACGGAGUGUCCCAGAGCCCAUGCAGUGACAGCAGCGUGCAAAGAGACAAAGCAAAAGGCAAAGCAGGCCAACAACCCCACUGCCCCACAGCAUGCCACAGGUGGAGCUCAACUUCCAGCCUCUACAGGCAAGACAGAACAAAACAGCCCCUAACACUCUCCCAGGCUCAGUGAGCUUGCUGACACUACUCCCCUUGGAGAGAAGUCCCAGAUCCCAGCAUCCAAUGUCACGCAGCCCUCACCCUGAAAUCCCAGGGAACUCCAGGCAGGGGGUGGGGAGAUCAGGGUCAGCUGCUGUGAGCCCGUAUCAGCUCCUCCCAGAGCCAGCAGCUGUGGGCAGCAGGCAGUCAGCCACCCCUGCUCCUGGUAGAUUGCAGAUUGGUGGCAGGUGAAUCAGUUUCUUCUGCCUGGAAAGCAUGCUGGCAUCCUCUGUGAGAUAUGUGUUGCUAUAGCAAUGGGAAAGGUAUCAGAUGCAAAGCCAGCGCUGAUGGAUAGCAUACAUCACUUCUAAGAUCACGAGAUAAGAUCAGGACCCUUGCUUCUCACAGUCCCAUAGCCAGGUACUGUACAGGGGAUGGCACAGCAAAAGCACUGUGGGGAGCUGAAAAACAUAAUCCCAAAGAUGCCCAGAGCAAAUAGCCCUGAAAACCCCUUCCAUUGCUCACACCAAGAGCUCCUGCAAAGCAAACCGACUCCAGACAACAAACUGCACUGAGCAGUCCCACACUGGGAUCCAUUCUGCAGCAGCCACUGCAUCCCCUGCUUGUGGUCAUGCAUACAAGCAUGAGUGGGAGCUCCAGAUGGAGCAGCCCAGCCACGCUGCGGAGGGACUCUGCAUCUCUUCCCCAGCUUCCUGCCAGCUGGAAGCCACCUUCUGACCCCGCUCAUGUGCAAGUUUUGGUUUUAAGGCUGGAUGGAACCUUCCCUUCCCACAAACCCUUCCAUCCAAGAACACACCUGCAGCGAUUAGAUCAGAGAUGGGAGGGGGGGACGGGGGGGGAACCCUCCCUGUUUGCUCAGCUUGUUUGCUUUGCAGUACUCUGUUGUUUGUGUGGGUCCUUCUCAUAGCAACCAGGGAGAGGAACACGUAUAAGGCACAAAGAAUGCCGCUGUGCAGCCACAUUGGCCGGGUGCGGCUGUGGGCGCAGCUGGAAAUUCCUCUCACCCGGUAGUCACAAAAAAGGACGGGGCCGAAGGAAUCGCACCCCUGACACGGCCAGGUGCUCACCCCCACCUUCAGGGCCUGCAUUGGGAGCCAGGGCCACACACACCCCUGGGAUUGGAGACAAACACCGCUGUGUGCCUCAGUUUACCCACGUGCAAAACGGGGGUAAGUAUACCCAGUGAAGGAAGGCAAACGUUGGGACUUUUAUAUAACGCACUCCAUAGGAAUGCAACGUUCAUUCCACAGCACAGCUCGGGGACUGAGCUCUGGACAUCAUUUUCUGGAUGAUUUUAUACCUCUGACUUUCUGCUUCUCCCUCCAACCCACGGUGACAGAGCAGUGCUGGGGCAAGGCAAAGCAGGCCUGGACCAAACAGACCCACUCGGUGCAGAAGGCGGAUUUGGGAUGCACGUUUUUUCCAGCCCAAAAAUGGCUCCCAUCCCACUUUUCCAUCACAGCAUCAGCCUUUUCCCUUCUCUAUUCCCGGGCUCCCAGGAGCCAUCACUGCCCACUUCCCUUCCCAUUGCCCUGUAGGCACCGACCCCAUCCCUCUGUGGGUCCGGAGAGCACGUGAAUAAAAAGUAAAAAUAAAUAAAGGAUAAGUGUAAAUAAAAAGCAGGGAAUAAAAA